GAUGAACGCUGGCGGCGUGCCUAAUAUAUGCAAGUCGAGCGAACAGACGAGGAGCUUGCUCCUCUGACGUUAGCGGCGGACGGGUGAGUAACACGUGGAUAACCUACCUAUAAGACUGGGAUAACUUCGGGAAACCGGAGCUAAUACCGGAUAAUAUAUUGAACCGCAUGGUUCAAUAGUGAAAGACGGUUUUGCUGUCACUUAUAGAUGGAUCCGCGCCGCAUUAGCUAGUUGGUAAGGUAACGGCUUACCAAGGCAACGAUGCGUAGCCGACCUGAGAGGGUGAUAGGCCAGACUGGAACUGAGACACGGUCCAGACUCCAACGGGAGGCAGCAGUAGGGAAUCUUCCGAAAUGGGCGGAAGCCUGACGGAGCAACGACGCGUGAGUGAUGAAGGUCUUCGGAUCGUAAAACGCUGUUAUUAGGGAAGAAAAAAUGUGUAAGUAACUAUGCACGUCUUGACGGUACCUAAUCAGAAAGCCACGGCAAAAUACGUG
rnacentral:rRNA from 1 species